rnacentral:misc_RNA from 1 species
GACCUCUGCAGCUAAUGACCGGCGGCGAAUAAUUUGUACUCUCCGACGUCGUCGUCCGGCAGAUUCGUUUACACUGCUUUCAUCUUUCUUCCCUUCCUUCCUUGAGGAGUGGGAAACUCUAAGUUGAAAGAAACGAACCCUUCAGAAUCUAAACCUGAAUACGUUCACGUCAAUUUCUUCUAUAUAAGAACAACAACAAGAAGAAGAACCGCAUUCAAUUCCACCAAUUUCUCCGAUCUACUCAAUGUUCAACUCCGGCAAUAACAGUCCCAAUGGAAUCCCUAGCUCCGG